GUUUCUUUUGUCUCGAGUUGGAUGAGAGUUGUGCAUGCAAUAUUUUUUGCUUUCUUGCUUCUUUUUGUUUGCCCACUGAGAAUUAGUGAAUCUGAAGUUCCAAGAAAAAAUCCCAAAAAACUCUAUAUUCUUGAAAAGGCAGCGACAGAUCUUCUUUAUCCAAGGUCAAAAUCUAAUGAUGUACAUAAAAAUCAAAAGCAUAUGUUACUGCAAUUCUGAUAUUUUAUAGUGAAUAACAAUCACGAGGCAAGAUUAGUCUCACCCGAACAUGAACUCGGCAAGACAUAAAAACUAUCUUAGCUAUCAACAAUCUCCAGGCAUGCAAACUAUCUUAGCUAUCAAUACUUAAAGACCAAGAAAACAGUUACUUCGAACAGUUAGAUUGAACUGAAAGUACUACUCAAAAGUCACAUGGAGUUGGCUCUCUAUCCUUGCAGACAAAACACUAGUUUUCACAGUCUCUUUCUUUUAACAAUCUCUAGCUUCUUCUUUUUUUUUAUCUUAUUUUUCCUUUUUUAUUGUACACAAUGGUAAAGCAGUACUUUCGGUAUGUGAGCUGGAAAAGCCACAUGAAUUUGUUGAAAUCGAAGUGGUAUGCACGGGUUUUUCUUUGCGCCUUUCCAUCUCUCAAGCUGAGGGGUAACUUUUUUUUGCCUCCAGUAAUAUUGUUUGGGGGCUUUCGGCUGGGGAUUUCUUCAUGCCUUUCCAUCUCCCAAGCUGCAAGCUGAUGGGUCAUUUUGUUUUAGCUCCAGUAAUAUGGUUUGGGUUUGGGGGCUUUCAGCUGGGGAUGCCAUUGCCUUCUCUUGGCUUCGACUGCUCUACCAGCUGUUGCUGCGCUUGGGUCGAGCUGUUGUCAAAUUUGGGUCAGAAAAUUGAGGUUGCAUUCUCCGCUUUUCCUCUGGCUUAGCUCUUGGCGUUUGGGAGAAUGGGUUUUCUAUGCAAUGGCUCCUGUUGCAGCGGCUUUGAAUCCAGAUAAGCCUUUGUUUACCAGAUCGGCCUCGUUUGUUUUAGCUCAGUUUGCGUUUGAUUUUCGUAGAUUGUGGAUGUUGGAUUAGAAAAAAUGUCAUGCAAUGAUUAUUUCGCAUUAAAUGCGAUGCCCCUUUGGCCGAGAUUUAGAAUUCUCGUGUUGAGAGAAAAUAUACUGCUAUCAGCUUAUAGCCUGAGUCGUGGCUCCUCAUCGAGAAAAACUGAAUCAUCCACAUUGUCGAGGCUCGAAUCUCUAUAAGGUUCAAGUCAAUAUUUUAGAUCGAAAUUGCAAAGAACCAGCUGAAACUCUGUAAGGUUUGAGAAACUAAUUUAGAUUGUUCACAUUGCAAAGAACCACUCCAAACUCUCUACCAUUACAUCGCUAUUUUUUGCUUUGCAAGUUCUUUGAUUGAUGCCUCAACAACUCAUCCAUUUCAUAGCUUUGUUCUACCAUAAUUUUAUUCAUACUUUACAUCAACAUCGCUAUUUUUAACCACUGCUUCUUCAUUUUUCUUUUCUUUUUUCCUUUUUUAUAAAAAAGAUUCAGUCCACAUUUUCAAACUCUUCCUCACACAAACACUUCAUUGAUGUGCUCCCCCAAUAAUCAAUGUACAUUGAUAACUUGAAUAUUCUUGCAGAUGCAGUGGAGCUUCCAGAAAACAACGAUGUGCGCCAGGAACAUUUUGCUACUUACCAUCUUACGUUGCUGCAACUUUUUGACUGCUGUUGGAUUACAUCUGUUUAUAGAAACUGCUUUUGAAAUUAGAUGUCCUUUGUUACUCUACAUUCCAUUCAGCCUUUUUGUCUAUCAAUUCUCAGUUUAAACUAUAUAUGUUUUAUGAUGUUGCAGUAAGCUACUGGAAUUACAUUACCUUGCAUAUUUAAUUUAA